AUCGUACAUUGAUUUCAUCAAUAAUCAACCUUCUUUGAUGGCUUUCACAGAGUUCUGUCUCUCGAUACAGGGAGUCUGCGGUCAGAGACUUACCUUCAGAGGUGACCAGGGGCAAGAAGCAUACAGCAGGGAUGCCUUAACCUUACAUACUGCAGAUCUUGAAGGUCAAGAAUCGGCUUUCCCUUUUACAUCCAGUGUGUCCCAACUCUCCGCUCGCUAUACCCUCCUCUAAGAAACCCUCUUUUGAGGACCGAUACAAAGAUAGGUCUCCUGUGCACUCCUUGCUAACGGCUCCUUUGGAUGACCUUAAGGCGGCUCCUGCCCCUUGCUUCGA